rnacentral:rRNA from 1 species
CCAGCAGCUGCGGUAAUUCCAGCUCCAAUAGCGUAUAUUAAAGUUGCUGCAGUUAAAAAGCUCGUAGUUGGAUUUCUGGCAUGGUGUGCUUAGCCCGUGGCGUAAGCUUCUGUGUGCUGAGUCGCGCCUGCCAUCCUUCUAGACAGCGGCUCUACCCUUCGGGGCCGGAGUUUGCCAUCUAGAUCUUUUACUUUGAAAAAAUUAGAGUGUUUCAAGCAGGCUUUUGCUAUGAAUACAUUAGCAUGGAAUAAUCAACGAGGACUUCGGUUCUAUUUUGUUGGUUUCUAGGACUGAAGUAAUGAUUGAUAGGGAUAGUUGGGGGUGCUAGUAUUCAGCGGCCAGAGGUGAAAUUCUCGGAUUCGCUGAAGACUAACUAAUGCGAAAGCAUUCACCAAGGAUGUCUUCU